AGAAGCUCUAAGAUCAAACUGUUAGAAUGCAAAAGAAAAGAAAUGGUGACAACAUAUAGAUAGGCUUUGCUUGAAUGGAUUUCCUUCUCUCUCCUGAAGUCCUUUUGUCACAUUCAAUGCUGUUGCCUCCUGUAAUACAACUCCCGGAAUGGAAAUGACAUGAUGUCAGAGGUAAUUCCUGCAAAACCAGUUUCAGGUGCCCAAGGUGACCCUUGUAGGACCUGAGAGCUUGAACCACGAUGACAUUGGAGCCUCAUAGGACUUCAGAUGGGAUGAUCCAGCAAGCCAACCCAAAUAGAGCCAAGGUCCUCUUACUAUCUGGCUUGACGGCUCCUGAAACUGCUAGUGUUUCUGCUUUUGUCAACAUCAUCAAGUCCCACCACUGGUGUUUUCAUCCACAUGGACUUCUGAGGCUGGCACUAAAGAAAAAGUACCAGGCUGAAGAGUGUGUGAAACUGAUCACCUCGAUGGGGUAGGGGCCCCAAGGGAUUGGAAUCUUGAGGAGGAGAAGACUCUGACUGGGAGAGGAGUUGGUCUCUCAGUCUUGAGAAGCUGAAGAGAGUAGGUGAGAAAAGACUUUCUCCUGAGAGUUAACCAUUUUUUCUGCUGGUGACUGGAAAUCUUUCCUGCAACUUUUCCCAAUUGAAAAGACUACUGAAG
rnacentral:lncRNA from 1 species